AGAGUUUGAUCAUGGCUCAGAACGAACGCUGGCGGCGGGCCUCAUACAUGCAAGUCGAGCGCGUGUAGCAAUACACGAGCGGCGUACGGGUGAGUAACGGGUGGAUAAUCUGCCUCCGGGUGGGGGAUAACGGCUGGAAACGGCCGCUAAUACCGCAUACGGUUGCUGGCCUUCGGGCUUGGCAAAGAAAGGGGCUUCACAGCCUCGCCGGGAGAUGAGUCCGCCUCCGAUUAGCUAGUUGGUAGGGUAACGGCCUACCAAGGCUUUGAUCGGUAGCCGAACUGAGAGGUUGAUCGGCCACACUGGAACUGAGACACGGUCCAGACACCUACGGGUGGCAGCAGUAGGGAGUAUUGCGCAAUGGGCGAAAGCCUGACGCAGCCACGCCGCGUGGAUGAUGAAGGCCUUCGGGUCGUAAAGUCCUUUUAUGAGGGAAGAACGGCCUGGUGAGGAAAUGCACUGGGCGUGACGGUACCUCAGGAAUAAGCCACGGCUAACUCUGUGCCAGCAGCCGCGGUAAUACAGAGGUGGCUAGCGUUGUUCGGAAUUACUGGGCGUAAAGGGAGCGCAGGCGGCCAGGUCAGUCUGAAGUGCAAGCCCGGGGCUCAACCCCGGAAUCGCUUUGGAUACUACCUGGCUUGAGUAUGUCAGAGGUGAGCGGAAUUCCAGGUAGCGGUGAAAUGCGUAGAUAUCUGGAGGAACAUCCGUGGCGAAGGCGGCUCACUGGGACACAACUGACGCUGAGGCUCGAAAGCGUGGGGAGCGAACGGGAUUAGAUACCCCAGUAGUCC
rnacentral:rRNA from 1 species